GGCCUUGCUCUUAUGUCAUCUGACUAAAGGUUUCAUAGACCAAAAAUAACCAUCCAACCUGUUGGAAUACUGAAACAAUUGCUGCCUGCUUUCCACACACUACAUAAAAUAUGUGGAUAUCCUAAAUUCUACAAAAAAAGAUUUGUAAGCAAAUCAAGCAAUACUGGGACUCCCUCUUCUCCAGAAGAGACAUCCUGGCCUCCAUGCAGAAGAAUGUGUGGAUGGACAUAUGUUUAAGGAAGACACUAAACCAGAAAAUACUACAUUACACCCUCUUAAAAGACUUCUAAGAUUGUUGUCAUGCCUACCACUGACAUUCAGAUGAUGUGUAUUCUUGAUUGUGAUUUCAUGUUUGGAGCUGAUGAAGGAGUUUGAAGUCUCCAGAGCAGCAAGGAGAGUGGGGAGUAGAACUCAUCAUCUUUAGGUCACUCAUCCCCG
rnacentral:lncRNA from 1 species